UACGUAGGUGGCGAGCGUUGUCCGGAUUUACUGGGCGUAAAGGGAGCGUAGGCGGACUUUUAAGUGAGAUGUGAAAUACACGGGCUCAACUUGGGUGCUGCAUUUCAAACUGGAAGUCUAGAGUGCAGGAGAGGAGAAUGGAAUUCCUAGUGUAGCGGUGAAAUGCGUAGAGAUUAGGAAGAACACCAGUGGCGAAGGCGAUUCUCUGGACAGUAACUGACGCUGAGGCUCGAAAGCGUGGGGAGCAAACAGG
rnacentral:rRNA from 1 species